CGGCACCGGCGAGACAGACGAAAAGGCUCCCGUCGCCAUCCGGCGACGGGAGCCUUUUCGUCGUCGGCCUCGACGAUCCGC
rnacentral:miRNA from 1 species